UACGUAGGGGGCAAGCGUUGUCCGGAAUCAUUGGGCGUAAAGAGCGUGUAGGCGGCUCGGUAAGUCCGCUGUGAAAGUCCAGGGCUCAACCCUGGAAUGCCGGUGGAAACUGUCGAGCUAGAGUCCGGAAGAGGCGAGUGGAAUUCCUGGUGUAGCGGUGAAAUGCGCAGAUAUCAGGAGGAACACCAAUGGCGAAGGCAGCUCGCUGGGACGGUACUGACGCUGAGACGCGAAAGCGAGGGGAGCGAACAGG
rnacentral:rRNA from 1 species